CCAUGGAACAUUCAACGCUGUCGGUGAGUUUGGGAUUAAAAAUGAAAAAAACCACCAACCGUUGACUGUACCUUGG
rnacentral:pre_miRNA from 1 species